UUCUCCUGAAGAUGACCCACCACAUUUGGAUAACUCCUCAUCAAAUAAGGAUGAAGUUCCAACCCCUGAAGCUGGGAUGGAAUUCUCUUCUGAACAACAAGUUCGCCAAUUCUAUAGAUCUUAUGCUCAACGUCUUGGAUUUGGGAUUUCCAAAGUUUCUUGCAAGAAUGGAGAUGAUGAUGGCAAGCAGAAGUAUUUUUCACUCGGAUGCUCCAAGAAUGGUAAGACCAAAUCAACUACUAAACAUUCUUACCAUCGAAGGCUCUCAGUCUCCACAAAGACCGACUGUUCUGUAAAGCUAAAAUCAAUGUUGCCAUUAUGGAUGAUGGUACUUGCGUCGUCACUCCCUUGACCACAGUCAUGACUUCACUCCAGAAAAAUCACACCAUAUUAGACGUGACAAGUUCUCGGACUAUUCUAAUGUCAGAACAGAAUUAAAGUUUCACACUUUCAUGACCAAAACAUUUCAGAAGCUCAAAGUUUGAGACUCAGACCUGGAGAUGCUUGGGCCUUGGGUAAUUUUUUUUCCACCAUAUGCAAGUCAGAGAUCCUAAUUUCUUUUAUGCGGUUAAUUUGGAUGAAGAAUGUCGCAUAAGAAAUAUAUUUUGGGCAGAUGCAAGGUGUAGAGCAACGUAUGAGUCCUUUUGUUAUGUCAUUUCUUUUGAUACUACUUGUUUGACUCAGAGCUGUGAUUUGCCUUUGGUUUCAUUCAUUGGAAUGUACAAUCAUGGCCAAACUGUAUUGCUAGGUUGCGGAUUGGUAUCUGGGGAGGAUACGGAACUUUUGUGUGGUUAUUCAGAUCUUGGUUAACAAGCAUGCUAAGACGUGCUCCGAAGGCGAUAAUCAUUGAUGAAGACAGCUCCAUUCAAGCUGCUGUUGCUGAGGAAUUUCCAGAUUCCCAUUAUUGUUUGUGCCUGAGGCAAAUAACGAGAAAACUCCCACAAAUAUUAGGACGUCUUACUUAUUAUAAAGCAAUAAAGGGGAGUUUGGAAAAUAUAUUGUUUAUGAUUCUAUUAAAGGGGAUGAGUUUGAAGAGAAUUGGGAGAAGCUGCUUAAAGAUUUUGAAUUGGAGAAGAAUGAUUGGUUAAAAUCAUUGUAUCAAGAUUGGCACACUUUUUGGGCUGGCAAGUCAAAAACAACAUUGAAGCAGUUUGUUGAACACUAAGAUAAUGCUUUGAAGAAUAAGAUAGACAGAGAGAAAAAUUCAGAUGUUGCUUCAUCCAACUCCACCACGCCAACAAUAUCUGGACAUCCCAUUGAAAAGCAAUUUCAAAAUAUUUACACUACCUCCAUCUUCAAGUUGGUUCAGGAGGAAUUAAGAGGGUUGAUGUUUUGCACUGCCUGCUUUGUGAAAAAAGAGGGGUCAGUUUGAAUUUAUGGCGUUGUAGAAAACAUGUUAGAUAAUGAAGGAGUACAUUGGAAAGAAGUUAUGUUUGAUGUACAUUAUGAUACUGAAAAUGCAUGUCAGAUUAAUUGUUUUUGUCAUCUUUUUGAGUCUCGGGGUAUCCUUUGUAGGCAUGUAAUCUCUGUGCUAACCAUGAACAAUUUUACCAAGGUUUCAACAUGUUAUGUUUUGGACUGAUGGCGCAAAGACAUGAAUCGUGGUUACCAGCGUGUAAAAGCAGUUUAUGAUGAUUUCAGUGACAAUGAAGAAAGACGUUGUUAUGACUGUCUCAGUCCAUUAUUGUUGGAAGUGCAACAUCUUGUUGCUGAAAAUGAGUAAAGAUGUGACCUUUUGGAGAACUUUUUAACCAAUGCAAGGGAAAAACUUCUUGCCACAGAUGCUACUACUCUGAGUAGUGAAAGAAAUCAGAGUUCGUCAGGUCUGCCUCACAAUAAAAACUUCUUGCCACAGGUAGGAGUUGGAAACAGGGUGGGAACUCCACUGACAGAUGAGAAGGCGGCCAAAAAUAAGGUUACUAAAGGACAUCAAACUCUGGAACAGACACCAACACUUGGUAUGGUGGCAGAACAAGAAAAUCAAAUGGUUUGUAGUUUGGUGUAGGACUCGGAUUGGCAUGACUUCUUGUGAAUUUAGAUGUCUCAAAUGUUUCUCGAUUUACCAUCAAAGAGGAAUAAGAUGCUUGGUUGAAGAAAGUUCGACGAUCUAUCUAUCUUUUGUUAUCUGAGCUGUUGUAGUUGUUAUAUUAUCUCUUUGAUUUUCUUGCUUACUGUGCAGCAGCAAUAAGUUUUCUGGGGCAGUUCAGUGACAGAUUCAUGAUCUUCUCAACACCAAUGAUCACCCAAGGACAAGUUCUCCUUGAUUACUUGUAUACUUAUCAUCCCUAUGUAAGAAUUUGUGGUGGUGGUGAUGGAAGAAUGAUUUUGUACAAAAAGCUGAAUUUGCAAUUAAUCUCAGAUUAUUUUGGUUGAGCGUAA